rnacentral:snoRNA from 1 species
GGCCUGCAGAUUCCUUACCCCUAAGAUCUAAACAUUGGUUUGAAUGACUAUCAAAGGAGGAAAUGUAUUACUGAAGUGGAUUUGGAUUCUGUAUUCAUGUACAAGCUCAUUUCAAACAACA